GUUUCUGUAGUGUAGUGGUUAUCAAGUUGGCUUCACACGCAAAAGGUCUCUGGUUCAAAACCAGACAGAAACA
rfam:Poecilia formosa, whole genome shotgun sequence.